rnacentral:rRNA from 1 species
CCUACGGGUGGCAGCAGCGAGGAAUAUUGGUCAAUGGACGAGAGUCUGAACCAGCCAAGUAGCGUGAAGGAUGACUGCCCUAUGGGUUGUAAACUUCUUUUAUAUGGGAAUAAAAUGUUCCACGUGUGGGAUUUUGUAUGUACCAUAUGAAUAAGGAUCGGCUAACUCCGUGCCAGCAGCCGCGGUAAUACGGAGGAUCCGAGCGUUAUCCGGAUUUAUUGGGUUUAAAGGGAGCGUAGGUGGAUUGUUAAGUCAGUUGUGAAAGUUUGCGGCUCAACCGUAAAAUUGCAGUUGAAACUGGCAGUCUUGAGUACAGUAGAGGUGGGCGGAAUUCGUGGUGUAGCGGUGAAAUGCUUAGAUAUCACGAAGAACUCCGAUUGCGAAGGCAGUUCACUGGACUGCAACUGACACUGAGGCUCGAAAGUGUGGGUAUCAAACAGGAUUAGAUACCCGAGUAGUC